AAGACUAUACUUUCAGGGAUCAUUUCUAUAGUUUCUGACUUGAGAAAUGUGUUUCUAAAGUGCAUGGUCUCGCUACCCACGAUGAAGAGUCAUGAUAUUCCUUUCUGGGCGUGAAGUGGAUAGAGAAUAAUGAUUCAGGUCAUAUGUUCUCUGUCAUUGAUGACCAUUCUUUGCUUCCUGGUGGAGCAUUGAGGAAAGGAAUAUGGUCAGAGUGGCA
ensembl:snoRNA small nucleolar RNA U3